rnacentral:rRNA from 1 species
AGCGAACGCUGGCGGCAGGCAUAACACAUGCAAGUCGAACGGAACUUUCGGGGUACGUGGCGGACGGGUGAGUAACACGUGGGCACGUGCAUUUCGGUUCGGAAUAGAUCCUGGAAACAGGUGGUAAUGCCGAAUGUGCCCUCAGGGGGCAAGAUUUCUCGCCUUUAGAGCGGCCUGCGUCUGAUUAGCUAGUUGGUGAGGUACUGGCUCACCAAGGCUACGAUCAGUAGCUGGUCCGAGAGGAUGACCAGCGACAUUGGGACUGGGACACGGCCCAAACUCCUACGGGAGGCAGCAGUGGGGAAUCUGGCGCAAUGGGCGAAAGCCUGACGCAGCCAUGCCGCGUGGAUGAUGAAGGUCUUAGGAUUGUAAAAUCCUUUCACCGGUGAAGAUAAUGACUGUAGCCGGAGAAGAUGCCCCGGCUAACUUCGUGCCAGCCGCCGCGGUAA